UGCCAGACUCCUACGGGAGGCAGCAGUGGGGGAUAUUGCACAAUGGGGGAAACCCUGAUGCAGCGACGCCGCGUGGGCGAAGAAGUAUUUCGGUAUGUAAAGCCCUAUCAGCAGGGAAGAAGAAAUGACGGUACCUGAGUAAGAAGCACCGGCUAAAUACGUGCCAGCAGCCGCGGUAAUACGUAGGGGGCAAGCGUUAUCCGGAUUUACUGGGUGUAAAGGGAGCGUAGACGGCAGCGCAAGUCUGGAGUGAAAUGCCGGGGCCCAACCCCGGAACUGCUUUGGAAACUGUGCAGCUCGAGUGCAGGAGAGGUAAGCGGAAUUCCUAGUGUAGCGGUGAAAUGCGUAGAUAUUAGGAGGAACACCAGUGGCGAAGGCGGCUUACUGGACUGUAACUGACGUUGAGGCUCGAAAGCGUGGGGAGCAAACAGGAUUAGAUACCCUCGUACU
rnacentral:rRNA from 1 species